rnacentral:sRNA from 1 species
AGGUAGUUCUUUUUGACUCUUGUUUUUAUGUUGUUAAUGGAGAAAUUACUAGAUCUGGGGUUAUAAAAGAGGAAAGAAUUAAAAAGAAAUAAGGAAAUAGUCGUGAAUGGCCCCAACUGACACUAGCCUUUAAAAGACACUCUUCCUAUCUUCAGUCUGUAAGUGGUUGCUGUCAAAAAGGGAAAGUCUAUCUCCUUAAUGCUCCUUGCUUCUUUGGCUGUAUUUCCGGAUUGGAGACUUGGUCUCCUGGGUUUCUUUUGAAACUUAGUAGGGAGUAGUUGGGUGGACAAAAACUAAUAUGCUCCAUUAAAAAUCAAUAGCUUCCUUUUUAGCUCUGUCAUUUGAUUACCUGAGUAAAGUGUACUUUUACCUGUUUGUCUCCAAAAGAGUGAGGGAAUCAGCAGGGAGUUUCAGACGUCAUUUCUGUGGUAAUAAGUGGAGCUUAGAUGAAAUGGCACCAUAUUAUGACUACAGCAGAUGGCCCAUUUUGAAACUUGCGUUGAGGAGGCUGCAGAAGUGUUGAAUGCUGAGGUAUACCCCUAUGUUUUCAUCCGAUUGCUUUCUGCUAUCAUAGGAAUGGGACGCGAGAGAUAAAGAUUCUAUCCGACGAGUAGUACAACACAGCAAUGUGGUCAUCAAUCUUAUUGGACGAGACUGGGAAACCAGAAACUUUGAUUUUGAGGAUGUUUUUGUGAAGAUUCCCCAAGCAAUUGCUCAACUGUCCAAGGAAGCUGGAGUUGAAAAAUUCAUUCAUGUUUCACAUCUGAAUGCGAAUAUUAAAAGCUCUUCUAGAUAUUUGAGAAAUAAGGCUGUUGGAGAGAAAGUAGUGAGAGAUGCAUUUCCAGAAGCCAUUAUCAUAAAGCCAUCGGACAUCUUUGGAAGAGAGGAUAGAUUCCUUAAUUCUUUUGCAAGUAUGCAUCGGUUUGGUCC